rnacentral:rRNA from 1 species
UACGAAGGGGGCUAGCGUUGCUCGGAAUGACUGGGCGUAAAGGGCGCGUAGGCGGCUUGUAUAGUCGGAUGUGAAAUUCCUGGGCUUAACCUGGGGGCUGCAUACGAGACGUAUGUGCUUGAGUGCGGAAGAGGGUCGUGGAAUUCCCAGUGUAGAGGUGAAAUUCGUAGAUAUUGGGAAGAACACCUGUGGCGAAGGCGGCGUCCUGGUCCGUGACUGACGCUGAGGCGCGAAAGCGUGGGGAGCAAACAGG